UGCGUAGGCGGGUUUCUAAGUCAGAGGUGAAAGCCUGGAGCUCAACUCCAGAACUGCCUUUGAUACUGGAAGUUUUGAGUAUGGCAGAGGUGAGUGGAACUGCGAGUGUAGAGGUGAAAUUCGUAGAUAUUCGCAAGAACACCAGUGGCGAAGGCGGCUCACUGGGCCAUUACUGACGCUGAGGCACGAAAGCUGGGGAGCAAACA
rnacentral:rRNA from 1 species